UACAGAGGGGGCAAGCGUUAUUCGGAAUUAUUGGGCGUAAAGGGCGCGUAGGCGGUUCUUCAAGUCUCUCGUGAAAUCCCUCGGCUUAACUGAGGACGUGCGGGAGAUACUGAAGGGCUUGAGUCCGGAAGAGGGUGGUGGAAUUCCCAGUGUAGCGGUGAAAUGCGUAGAUAUCGGGAGGAAUACCAGUGGCGAAGGCGGCUCACUGGACCAUUACUGACGCUGAGGCUCGAAAGCUAGGGGAGCAAACAGG
rnacentral:rRNA from 1 species